UUUAACUUCGGUUUUUCUAUACUUCCAUGUCCUCAAAUUUGAAUUAUUAUCCAUACCAUACAAUUAUUAUUGUGUUUCCUGAAAGUUAUGUAUAGGAGAUUAUUGGCAAGGUGUUUGGCCCACUGGGCCACUAAUAUCGACGUGAAUAAGGAGAUCUUAACUUUUGUUUCUUGACGAGUCAUUUGAGCAUCUUUCUUCUUCAUUUUUUUUCAUUAUGUAUCUUUUAUAUUAAAUCGACUCCUUCAUCAUCUUUUACUUUCCGGAGGAUGGAAUCCGCAGGAACCUGCUCGAGUGAUUGCUAUACUUCCUAUGUAAAGACUUUGAACUGACAGUUGCUGAUGCUAAGUCUAUUAAAUGGGAUUUCUAUCAGAAGCAAUGAUUCUUCAUUCUAAAGUGAGGCAUUGUAUGCAUAUGUGGGUUCUGAUUGUGAAAAAGAGCAACCAAUCUUGUUUCUUCUGAGACAUGGUAAAAAUGGUAAUAGUUUAGUCACCCAAAUUUGGGCCACUUGUAAUGCAGGACCACUAAAUUUUAUUUAACACUCUGUCCUUCACCUGCUGCAACUCCAGAAGCCAGUGAUAACUAUCUGACAGGAACAAUAACUUAUUUGUUGAUGAAAUUGAGGAUUCCACGAUCAGGUUUGGGUUUUUGAAAGUUGGAAUUACCUAAUAAGCUUCUAAGGAGUCAAUAUUAAAUAUCAAACCACAAUUGCAAGGUAGAACUGGCUGAUUCCAAAUUCUAUGUCCCAACUCUAUAUCUUAACACUUAGAUUCUAAUUUUAAGUCGAUGAAUAUAUUUCACAACUUUGAAUGUCGUAGCUCCUUCCAUCAGCUAAAUCAUUUAAGGCACAUGCUCCAGUUUGGAUACUGUAAGAUCUGAUAUUCUGUAAGAGUUAAUCACUUGGAGUUCUCUUAAAAGUUUGGCAGGAAACAAACGAAUAUUAAAGAUGCAGAAGAAUAGGCCACUGAAGCUUAGUACCAACUUGAAGAUGAAAUGGACUCAUAAGGAAAACUGGAAAUAAGCUCCAACCAGAUAUUUUAUAAUUUUUGCAGAAAUAGUCUUGUUUGAAGAGGUUGCACCUAGCUUAAACUGAUAUUCUGAAAUUAGUAAUUCUAUGUAAAUGAGUCAGGCCCUUGUAAUGGUUGGGGGAUUGGUUGCAAGAAAGAAAAUUUUAGAGUGAUCCACCCGACUUUUUUGAAGCAGAGCAUAUGUUGGCAAGAGAGGUUUUUGUAGUUGGAAAUCCAUUUCCUGAGUUGGAAUGAUGUUGGUUAAGAAUAUAUGGGUGCACUUUUCUGAAUUCAUUGAUUUAACUUCGUGAUUGAAAGGAUACAAAAUUUUAGAGAAGUGAACUUUAGAAUGGUUGAAUAAUCAAUGGCCAAGAGAAGGCAUGUAGGUGAAUGUAUAGGUUAUAGCAACUCACACAAGGGUCUAAUCAUAGGGAAAAUUGGAUAGUUAAACUUUGAUAACCGAAAUUAUAGUACAAAGCUAGAUUAGUUCUUGGAAAAUGUUCGUGAGUCUCAUAGUAACUGUGCUAGUGCAUGCUGGUCCUUUAUUGAGUAAGUUAUUCCAGUGUAUUCAAAUGCAUAUUGGUAAAUUGAUUAGAUUAUCAAUUGAGAUUUUAAGUUUUCUGUAGAUAUUCCGUGGAGGAUGGAAUGUGAAAAUUUGUAUCUGGAAGAAGGAAAAUUAGUGAAUCAGUUGUCUUGCUGCAUGCAAAAGGUUAAGAGUACUCAAUGACAAUGAAGAUCUGAAUACUGAUGCUGUGAAAAAUUUUGCAUAUGUCAGACCAACCUUCUCAUCAAGCUUAUUACUUAUUAAAGCCCUCAAGUUAUUUGGUCAA